GCCUCGUCUGCCCAGUGUUCUGACUACCUGUUCACGUGACAAGCAAAUGUACAGUAGUCUGCACAUUGGUUAGACUGGGU
rnacentral:pre_miRNA from 2 species